UUCUUCAGUCUCUAAUGAAGCUAUGGCACACGAACUGUUUUCUGUCUCUAGCGAAUUGAAAAGCGCCUUCGAGAACAACAAGAGCUCAAAUGUCUUCUUAAUUAUUGAGAUAAAGGACGAAUCCUUUUGUCUAGAAGGGACUAUCAAAUUCUCCGGUUCAGAAGUCCGCGAAUUUGAGCAACUUCGGUCAACCCUCAGUAAUCACGCUCCUCGCCUGAUUCUGUACAAGAGUAAGAAAACGGGCGAAGGCCCGUGGACUUUAAUUACGUUCAUUCCAGACGAAUGCCCUGUCCAACAGAGGAUGGUUUACAGCACAGGCGCUACUUCGAUAAGAGAAAAGUUUUCUUUAGAGUCUUCGGUACAUUUCAGCGACGUUUCAGAAAUAUCGUCGAAAAUAUUUACAGAUAGCGGUGCCAACUAUGCAGACAAGCCAUAUUCUAAAAGAGAAAUAGCCAUACAAGAGCUCGACGCAGCUGAAGAACAGGCCAAGUUUGAAAGGCGGACCAAACCAGUUCCCUCAUCUGGGCUUCAUUUUGUUACGUAUCCUCUGUCCGAGGGGCUCAAACAAGCCCUUCAGGAUUUCAAGAGAACCUCAAAUUGGAUCGAAAUCGCCAUAGACCUGAAAGCGGGGAAUCUAAAGCACAUUGUGUCGAAGCAAAUUCGACACACUGAGCUGCCUUCUCACGUCAACUCAACCGAAGCUCGAUUCUAUUUGUAUAAUAAGCAGAAUGACAUCAUCGUUGUAUCCGCCUAUCCACGGGGCUCUUCAAGGAAGGACAACAUGUGUUAUUCAAUCUCCAAAGCGGGGCUUGUUGAUUCACUCAAGGAACUUGGUAUUGUGGUCACGAAAAAAAUAGAACUGGAGGAACCCUCUGAACUGUCUCAAACCGAAGUUGAAACGAGACUGAGAAACAGAGCGGCAAGUAUGUUCAAACCUCCGGACAACGCAUUUAGUCAAUCGUCGUCGUUGGAUGAAAAUAUUAUCAAGAAUACAGCAAGAAACCAGUACAAACAAAAAUUCUCACCAAUUAUUUCCAGCUCACAGAGCAGCUCAGGCUGCAAAAAGAGUAUCCCCAUCCCCCCACCUGGAGCAUAUGAGUAGAUAUGGACCAAACGAUAUUGCGGGUUACAUAGGUGGCGGCGAGGGCGCAAGGCGUCUGCCACCUUCGUUGUCACCAGUGACAAUAAUAAAGUAUGUUUGCUUUCGACUGAGUGCUCACACCUAUAUCCUCGAAAUAGACAUGCCGAGGAAAAGUGUUGUGUGGCUCUGUUGAGAGCGGAGAUUACAGCCAGUUGCAGCUUAGAAAAAAUGGUCAGUAAGUACAAAAAAAAAAAAAGUACU